GACAAAAGUAACGAGCGUUGUUCGGAAUCACUAAGCAUAAAGCGCACGUAAGCAAUGACGUAAGUCAGAUGUGAAAUCCCUCGGCCUAACCUAGGAACUGCGCCCGAUACUGCGUUGCUUGAGGACCAGAGGGGUGCAUGGAGUUUCCGGUGGAGCGGUGAAAUGCGUUGAUAUCGGAAGGAACACCAGUGGCGAAGGCGACCACCUGGACUGAUACUGACACUGAGGUGCGAAAGCGUGGGGAGCAAACAGG
rnacentral:rRNA from 1 species